AACGGGGGUGCCGAAAACCGUGUGAAAGAGUAGGCG
rnacentral:ncRNA from 1 species